rnacentral:sRNA from 1 species
GGCACUACUGGUUGGCACUCCUAGUUCCCAGGAUGCGGUUCAAGUCCCUGUGGUGCC